rnacentral:tRNA from 1 species
GCGCUUUUAGUUUCAUUCGGUAGAACGUGCAUCCCCAAAAUCCAAUAUCGUAGGUUCAAAUCCUACAGAGCGUA